AGAGAUGUGUGAUGACGCAUAUCAAUAAGCGGAGGAAAAGAAACUAACAAGGAUUCCCCUAGUAACGGCGAGUGAAGCGGGAAGAGCUCAAAUUAUGAAAUCUUCAAGGUUUUACCUUGACGAAUUGUAGUUUAUAGAAGUGUUUUCUGUUAGAGGAGGUGGUAAAAGUUCUUUGGAAUAGGACAUCAUAGAGGGUGAGAAUCCCGUAUUUGAUCCAUUCUUUCUACAAGCUUUGUGAUACACUUUCAAAGAGUCGGAUUGUUUGGGAAUGCAGUCCAAAAUGGGUGGUAAAUUUCAUCUAAAGCUAAAUAUUGGCGAGAGACCGAUAGCGAACAAGUACCGUGAGGGAAAGAUGAAAAGAACUUUGAAAAGAGAGUUAAACAGUACGUGAAAUUGUCAAAAGGGAAGCGUUUGACACCAGUGUUGUUUUUCUCGAAAAUCAAUUACAAAUGGUUGGAUGUUUUAGGAGUUAUGACUUCAUCAGCUUUGCAUUCUUUUCUUUACUAUCUUUCUUAAUGCACUUUUCGUUUAACAAGUCAACAUCAAUUUCUUUUGUUGUAAAAGGGUACGAGGAAGGUGGCUUUCUUUUCGGAGAAAGUGUUUAUAGCCUUGUACCUCUGCAAUCGGAGAGAUUGAGGUCUGCAGCGUAGAUCCUUCGGGGUUAGAUACAUUUGUGCUAAGUUAUAGCUUUUCAUAGACAACUUGUUGACUAUGUUAAGUCUUGUAGCUUACUCGCUUAUGCUAUUUUACCUACGCUUAGGAUGUUGACGCAUGAGAUAUACGC
rnacentral:rRNA from 1 species